UUAAAAUGUCUUCAACUGGAUUUACAGCGCAACAACAACAACAACAACAAAAUCUGAAACAAGAAUUACAAAAUGAAUUAACUGCUGCCAGUCAAAGUUUGUGGAAAUUACAUGCACAACUUCUACAACUCAAAGAGUUUACUCAACCUGGUGGAGUACUUGAAGCAUGCAUUACUCAGAGUGUAAAUACCCUUGAGGUUGUAAAAGCUUUGCCAAUACUCAAAUAAAAGAAACUAAGAAGACUAACUAAGACAUAUUGUAUAAAUCAUAUAACUAUAUUGUUUC